rnacentral:rRNA from 1 species
UGGAACUGAGACACGGUCCAAACUCCUACGGGAGGCAGCAGUGAGGAAUAUUGGUCAAUGGGCGGUAGCCUGAACCAGCCAAGUAGCGUGAAGGAUGAAGGCUCUAUGGGUCGUAAACUUCUUUUAUAUAAGAAUAAAGUGCAGUAUGUAUACUGUUUUGUAUGUAUUAUAUGAAUAAGGAUCGGCUAACUCCGUGCCAGCAGCCGCGGUAAUACGGAGGAUCCGAGCGUUAUCCGGAUUUAUUGGGUUUAAAGGGAGCGUAGGUGGACUGGUAAGUCAGUUGUGAAAGUUUGCGGCUCAACCGUAAAAUUGCAGUUGAUACUGUCAGUCUUGAGUACAGUAGAGGUGGGCGGAAUUCGUGGUGUAGCGGUGAAAUGCUUAGAUAUCACGAAGAACUCCGAUUGCGAAGGCAGCUCACUGGACUGCAACUGACACUGAUGCUCGAAAGUGUGGGUAUCAAACAGGAUUAGAUACCCUGGUAGUCCACACAGUAAACGAUGAAUACUCGCUGUUUGCGAUAUACAGUAAGCGGCCAAGCGAAAGCAUUAAGUAUUCCACCUGGGGAGUACGCCGGCAACGGUGAAACUCAAAGGAAUUGACGGGGGCCCGCACAAGCGGAGGAACAUGUGGUUUAAUUCGAUGAUACGCGAGGAACCUUACCCGGGCUUAAAUUGCAGUGGAAUGAUGUGGAAACAUGUCAGUGAGCAAUCACCGCUGUGAAGGUGCUGCAUGGUUGUCGUCAGCUCGUGCCGUGAGGUGUCGGCUUAAGUGCCAUAACGAGCGCAACCCUUAUCUUCAGUUACUAACAGGUCAUGCUGAGGACUCUGGAGAGACUGCCGUCGUAAGAUGUGAGGAAGGUGGGGAUGACGUCAAAUCAGCACGGCCCUUACGUCCGGGGCUACACACGUGUUACAAUGGGGGGUACAGAAGGCAGCUAGCGGGUGACCGUAUGCUAAUCCCAAAAUCCUCUCUCAGUUCGGAUCGAAGUCUGCAACCCGACUUCGUGAAGCUGGAUUCGCUAGUAAUCGCGCAUCAGCCACGGCGCGGUGAAUACGUUCCCGGGCCUUGUACACACCGCCCGUCA